CCGGGCUCGCGGCGGCGGCGGCGGCGGCGGCGGCGGCGGCGGCGGGACUGGCCCUGCGCCCGGGCACCGCCUGCGCUGCGCCGCCCGGCCUCACUCCGCGGCCCGCCAGGACCCGGCCCCGGUGAACGGGCUCGGGGUGCCGAGGUCCGGCUGCGGGGCCGGGAAGCCACCUCCACCUUGCCGUCUGUUACGACCCCCGAGGCGCAAGGCUGAGCCCCAUCUCGCUAUCCGGGUCCGGAGGGGUUCACCUUAGAAGGAUUUUUUGAAGCUCUUGGCGCUGGCUCUAAAAGAACCCACUUCCUUGCGGAUUUCAGGAGUCAAGAAUCCUUAAACGGAGCCAAUUUGCUUUGUAAAGCCAAUUGCCCAAGUGACUUGAGUUCGAAAGGAGAUACUUCCUGGACAACUGCUAUAAAAACAACAACAAAUACUUUUAUUAAUUCGGGGAGCCUGGUCACCAACUGGAUGCUCAGGAUCUUCUAAGGGUGUGAGGAUACAGGCGUCAAAGACCCCGUGCUGAGACAGCUCCAUAACAACAUGCAGAUAUUUGGCAAUGAGGGUUCAGAAGAGGACUUGCUGUGGAGAAGAGAGAAAAGAGAUGGGAAGACUCUGUGAAUGAAUAGAGAACACUCUGCAAGCAUCCCAGUUCCUUUGGUUGCCCUGCAGUCUGCAGGUACCAGGAGAAAUCAAAAGCCGCCUGGAAGGGCUUUCUGUCUGUAUGGAGUCAAGGCAGUGUCUUCAAAUCUGUGCUUUCUAAAACAAAGAAAUAACCUUGAUGAAACAAAUUUUCCCCAGAGGAAGGGGAGAGCCCACAGUGAGCUGGUAAAGAAGAUGCCUGGAGCAGGCAGCAUCCUCAAAUGGAAGGUAAUUGCCCUCAAAUCACUUAACUAGGAUGACCUACUUUGCUUUCCUGUAUAGCCAGGUCUGUUAUCAGACCCUUAUCUUGGGAGGCAUCGUGCCAGAGCCUGGGGCAAGAAAGGGCUGCUAUCCAGGAAUGCAGGUGAAAUUAUAGCUAUUAGCCCUGUCUUAGAGUGUGAGGAAAAUGUGCCCCCCUACCCCUGGCUAAGUUUGGGUUCCCAUGUCAUAAACUGCCUCCCUCUCUGAUAGCUCUGCAUAAACAUCCCAGGAACUCAAAGUAACAUUUGAUUUCCCAAAGAGAACAUUUGCAUUUGUAACUGUCAGAAAUAGGAGAGAUCAUCAAAGCUAAAUGAAUUGGGCUAUAAACAGUUUGAAAUAUGUCUUUAAAUUUUAAAAAACAUAUUUUUUGUUUGUUUUGGGGAGAGAGGAUCAUUUAGACUCAACAACAAAACAGAAAACUGUGAGUGCCAUUUUGAGACAAGACCUACCUGGUCCUUCCCCCUCAUACUUUCUGCUACCCCGUGACCUCCCUCUCUCCUUCCAGUCACAGAUUAUCCGCUUGGUUUUGGAGUUUUAAAUGUGUGGUCCUGAGAGGGAGAGGAGAGCAAGAGAAUCUCAAGAUAGAUUUGGAAGAUUAGGGUAAGACAGUGAGGGUACUAGAAGUGCUUUCCCAAGUGAGUCCCCAGAAGGGAGGGAAAAUAUCCAUGGAGAAGGGGCAGUGUGGUUGGUCCUGGCUAAAGGGCCUGAACAGCAGAGGCUAUUGCAGCCCUGCAUAGCACAGGGCAAUGGAAUAACUUCAUAGGCCCCCAAACUGCAUGGAAGCAGAUAGGGUCUUAGAAGCACGGGGUUGCUUUCCUGGACCUGGUGUGGCUUGGAAGCCACAAAAUGUUUCCUGUGCACCUACAAGAGUGUAAGAAAACCACUGGAUAGGAAAGGACCUUGCAGACUGGAAUGAGUCAUCAUGCAGACCAAAGUCUACCUCAGUGGAUGGCAGUGUGGAUGGAUAGGGACAGAUGUCCGGAUACUGUCUGUCGUGUGCACUCCCACCCCAGCCUUUUGGUAUUCCUGGUACAAAGAUAUAACUCUUAGGAAAAACAGAAACCCUAAAUAGGCUGAGAUUAAGUUUCUUUCACCUGGAAGAAUGAAGACUAUGGUAGAUUUUGAGUUAUAAAACUCAAAUUUUUGCAUUUCUUGAACACCUAAGUCUAUGGACUGAUAUUAGCACCAGCUGCAGAAAUAAGCACAGUUCUCACCACUUUUCAAUUUGAAUGCAGAAGGAGCCUUGUCUGGCCAUAGCUCUGCCCUCUACAGUGGAAAACAUAACUUUAGUGGAAUUUAGAGAUCUUUGAGUAAAGACAGAAGAAUAGCAAAGUCUGUUAUUUACCACCUCACUUUUUUUGUACAAAUAUUUGAAAGCAUUUUCGCAUUAUACAAUACAAUUUGUUUCUAUUUUGAGGCAAACACAUCUGUUAGAGGAAUUAUUGCAUUUCUUCCCCCUAGAAAGCUGUCUCCUUAAUCUUUCCACAAAGUCUUGAGAAUGUUAGCUUCUUUUUCUACAUUGUUGGAAAUCACAGCGUGGUGUUCCUCCUGACGGCACUCCCACCUUCAUCAUUCUGUGCUUACAGUUUCACCACAUUCCAUUGUUCUAAUGAGGUGACUGAGUGGAAGCUGAGGUUAGAAGAUAAAACUUAGAACAGGAGCAGCCCUUGGCUCCUUUCCCUUGGAGGGUGCUUCAAAAGAGGUGAAGUUUUCAAAGAUAGAACUUCAGGGAGAGGGUUUUGUGUUCCGGCUUCGAAGUGGCAAUUCUUUCCUGAGUUGUCACCUGGACUAUCUUACCAUAUUUCCUGGUUGAAUGAUUCCUCUAAAUCUUAUCUUAGCCUGGCCAAAUAUCCCUGGUCCCUUUGAUAUCUAAGUUUUCUGGCCAAGAAGCAAAUUCCUGUAGUUCCAAAUCAGUAGCUCAAGUUCCUGGGUCAGACUACCCGCAGGCCCUCAAGUUGCUGUCUGGUUGUCGUCUAAAAAGUUGAUGUCACAGGCCAGUUGAUAUCAAAGAGUCCUGGGUUUAAAAACUGACUCAGGACUUCUAAUUGUAAGGCCUUACACAAGUUAUGUGACAAUUCUUAACCUAAGUUUCCUCAGCUAUAAAGUGGGGAUUAUAGCAAUAUCCCACAAUACCUCUGACAAUGAAAUAAUGUGUAUAUAUUGCUUGGCACCGGAUAUGGUUUGGAUCUGUAUCCCCAUCCAAAUCUCAUGUUGAAAUGUAAUCUGUUAUGUUGGAGGUGGGACCUGGUGGGAGGUGAUUGAAUCAUGGGGGUGGUUUCUAAUGGUUUAUCACUGUCUCCCUAGAGCUGUUCUCAUGAUAGAGUUCUCGUGAGAUCUGGUUGUCUAAAAGUGUGUGGCACCUCCCCACCCCACUUUUCCUCCUGCUCCAGCAAUGUUCAAUGUGCCUGCUUCCUGUUCACCUUCUGCCAUGAUUGUAAGUUUCCUGAGGCCUCCCCUGCCAUGCCUCCUGUACAGCCUGUGGAACUAUGAGCCAAUUAAACCUCUUUUCUUUAUAAAUUGCCCAGCCUCAGGUAUUCUUUAUAGCAGUACAAGAACCAAUACAGCACCUAAUAGGCAUUCAACAAAUAGUAAUUCCCUGCUCCUUCUGCCUAAGCAGACAUGCAUGGGUUUGUGUAUCUAAACUGUAGGACUUUACAAAGACUAAAAUGGAAUUUUUUGAGGCAUUUCACUAUAAUCAAUAAAAUAAAGUAUUUGUAAUCAUG
rnacentral:lncRNA from 1 species